rnacentral:rRNA from 1 species
ACGUAGGAUGCAAGCGUUGUCCGGAUUUACUGGGCGUAAAGGGUGUGUAGGCGGCAUGUUAAGUCUCAUGUGAAAUCUCCCGGCUCAACUGGGAGCGGUCAUGGGAAACUGGCAAGCUUGAGGGCAGCAGAGGAAAGCGGAAUUCCGGGAGUAGUGGUGGAAUGCGUAGAUACCCGGAGGAACACCAGAGGCGAAGGCGGCUUUCUGGGCUGUGCCUGACGCUGAGACACGAAAGCGUGGGGAGCAAACCGG